CCAUAGAGAGAGGUUCCACUUUGCAUUAGCAGCUCAUGCUUCAGCGCUCUGCGAGUGUUUAUAGCCCUGUGACUUUAACACUUCAUGACUGAGAGCUGCUGCUCAGCGACUUCACCCACAGCAACCAUGAGUUUGAUCAGCGUCUUCAUCUGCACACUGGCCCUCUGCGCUCGAGGAUCCAGAGGUCAGGUGACUGUGACUCAGAGUCCUGCAGUGAAAACAGUUUCUCCAGGAGAGACACUCUCCAUCAGCUGUAAAACCAGUACUAAUGUUAAUGCUUACUGUGGUGGGAGCAAUAACUGUUUAGCCUGGUAUCAGCAGAAACCUGGAGAAGCUCCUAAACUCCUGAUCUAUGAUGCUGACACUAGAGAAUCAGGUAUUCCAUCACGUUUCAGUGGCAGUGGAUCUGGAUCUGAUUUCACUCUGACCAUCAGUGGAGUCCAGACUGAAGAUGUUGGAGAUUAUUACUGUCAGAGUGUUCAUGAGAUCAGUAGUAGCUUGGUGUUCACACAGUGUUAGAGCGUCGUACAAAAACCUGUGUGAGUGUGACUGCUGCAGCUGGGACCUACUGCAGGUGCUGAGGGACACACACACACACACACACACACUACAGUAAGUAGACACAUUACAUAUAAACAUUUACACGUGUAUGAAUUUCAAUUUUUUCAAACAAAACAUUUCAGUUAUUAAAAUAUUCAGUUUUCAUCAACCUUCAGUUCGUCUACAUACAAAACAAUCAUCUAAAAUCAAACACAGAAAUCCCCUGAGGAGUUUCCACCUCAUAUUCACAGAAAAGCAUCAGGACACGACUCAUUUAAUAAACAUGUUACAGUUUUUCUCAAUUGCUAAAACACAAUUUCUGAAACCUUGCUCCAUUUUCUGAAACCAUUAAAUGCAAAACCUUAUCUUCAAGCAUUAUUUACCAAACCUCUGACUCCUCUUGCAAAAUGAAACUUUCGCCUAAAAACAGUUUUACCUGUGUUCAAAAUGAAACACUGCUCUCAAAUUAAAAACAAAGUGAUCAAAAUGAUAUACACUAUCAAGCAGUCAGUAAACAAUAAAACAAAAAACAGAAAACACAUUGUUCAAAACAUUUAGUUCUCAGGCAGAAGCAAAUUUUUAAUCUCAACGUUUUGGGCCAUACAAUUUGUUCAUUGUACAGUAAACAACAUACAAUGCACUGUACUACAGUAUACAAUACUAAAAGGGAGAAAAGUCAAAGAAGUAAACUUGAUCAAUUCGCUUCUUCUCGUCUUUGGGCUGGGUCAGGCCAGAGCACUUUGUCAACCUCACAAGCAAUAUUGUCCCUCCUGAGGCAACGGGGGACAGAAGCCUCUUGUGUGCCGUAUCCAGCCCUGACAUGAUUCCUCACCUAUAUCACCACAAGCUAAAUCCAUGGCUUGCAGAAGAUUUACUCUGGUGUAGGGUUGUCUAUUAUACACUUUUCAUCUCCAAGAGGAGAAAAACUCCUCAAUCGGAUUCAGGAAAGGCGAGUAUGGAGGAAGGUACAAGUUCAUAAACUUCCCAUUGAUGUUAAACCAUUCCCUUACCGGACCAGCUCGGUGGAAACUGACAUUGUCCCACACUAUCACAUAAAUGGGAAUGGGAUUCUCAUUAAGCUCUUGACCCUGAUGGUCUUGAACCUAAAGCUCAAAUAAAAUAUCUCUUAGAUUGGCAAGAAAUCUUAGAAGGUGCUGGGUGUUAUAUGGCCCGAGUGUAACAUGGUGAUGUAGAACACCAUGGUUGCUAAUAGCAGCACAGAUGGUGACAUUGCCACCUCGUUGACCAGGGACUUCAACAAUGGCUCGCUGUCAAAUAAUGUUUCCACCUCUCCAUCUCCUCUUUGUUAGAUUGAAGCCUGCUUCAUCGACAAAGAUGAAGUCAUGGGGUCUGUCCAAGGAUUCCAAGUCAAAUGUUGUCUGUGUAGAAAUACUAUAUACUGCAUUUAGAAUUUUGUGAGACAUACAGAGACAGUGUUAUACUGUAAAGUACAAUUAAGCCUACUGUAUGCACUUCUAAUUCACAUACAUUGUGUGUACUGGAGAGUAAUGUCAUUCACAUGUGUUAGUACUGUAGAAAAUCUGGAUAACAGUAAAUGUUUCUGAAUGUAUACUUACUUGCACAUACUGAGCUCGCAGUUCUUUCACCCUUGGUGAGUUGCGCUCAAAGGGUACUUUGUAUACUUGUUUCAUUCGCAUCCUGUUACGAUGGAGAACACGGUCAAUUGUGGAAAUGCUCACACUGUUGAUUCCCUGGAAGUGUGUGUUGUCUUGUAUCACUCGUUCCUGGAUUUCUCUGAGUUGUAUUACAUUAUCUUGAAGGACCAUGAGUGAAUAAAGCCGUCCUUCCACCUGGAUGUGGCAGCCUCGCAAUCCUACAAAAAGUAGAUGUGCAGUUACAACAAAUAUUCAUGCAGUACUAUACAUACAGUGAUGAACUUUACAAAAGUCUAUUGAAACAGUUGCAUAGAGUUAAGUACAGUAAAUUUGCAAUUAUAAAAAUAGAGUAGUAUACUGUACCUGUUCUCUUCUCUGAAUGUCCUUACUAUGGUGGACACAGAAAAUCAGCUCAAAUUGGGUUGCACUCUUAGUCCUGCUUCCCUCAUUGUCAGUCCAUGGACAAGAACAUGGUCUAUGACUGUUGCUCGAAUUUUAUCAGAUAUUUCCACUCUUUGUCUUCUUCUUCCUCCUCCUCUUCCUCUUUCUUGCCGCCCUCCUCCUCUUCCUCGCCCUCCUCUUCUGCCACUUCCUCCUCCUCUUCCUCUUUCUUGCCCUUCUCCUCCUUCUCGCCCUCCUCCUCUUCCUCUUUCUUGCCGCCCUCCUUCUCUUCCACCUCUUCUUCCUCUUCCUUAACCUCUUCCUCUUUUUUGUCGUCCUUCUCCUUCUCGUCCCCCACCUCGCAUACGCACUCGUCCUCUUACAUUGUCUCUUCUAUCCAUGCUCAGUCUUUCUCCUUUCUACCUUCAACAACCUGUUUGCUCUCUGAACUGGCUUAUAUUGGUUGUGUCACAUCAUUUGAAACAGGUGGCAUCAAUUUUCAGUGGUUGUGUUUAAUUGUUACGACCCCUUAGUCUAGGUUUCAGGGCCGCAACAAAGAAGAAAAUAAAAAAGAGAAAUCCUUCACAACAGGAUAGAGUGUGCGUGGUCUUUUAUUUUUUUACACACACACACACACACACAUACACAUACAGGAAGCUCUAGGCUUCAGGGUUGGGCCAAGGCCAAAACAAUAAACAAAACUUCCCCCUAUCUCCUCCCACAACCUAACUAACCUAUCAAAAGAAAACUUUAAACAAAACACAUUAGCUA